rnacentral:rRNA from 1 species
UGGGUAACACGUGAGUAACCUGCCCUUGACUUUGGGAUAACUUCAGGAAACUGGGGCUAAUACCGGAUAGGAGCUCCUGCUGCAUGGUGGGGGUUGGGAAAGUUUCGGCGGUUGGGGAUGGACUCGCGGCUUAUCAGCUUGUUGGUGGGGUAGUGGCUUACCAAGGCUUUGACGGGUAGCCGGCCUGAGAGGGUGACCGGCCGCAUUGGGACUGAGAUACGGCCCAG